rnacentral:rRNA from 1 species
AGCGAACGCUGGCGGCGUGCUUAACACAUGCAAGUCGAACGUGAAAUGUAGCAAUACAGAGUAAAGUGGCGUACGGUGAGUAAACACGUGGGUAAUCUACCAAAGUGUCUGGAAUAACCGAUCGAAAGGUUGGCUAAUACUGGAUAGUUCAAGCUUGUUAUAAUGGCAAAGAUUGGGAAAGGGAGCUGGCAACAGCCUUCGCAUUUUGAUGAGCUCGCGUCUGAUUAGUUAGUUGGUAAGGUAAUGGCUUACCAAGACGAAGAUCAGUAGCUGGUCUGAGAGGAUGAUCAGCCACACUGGAACUGAAACACGGUCCAGACUCCUACGGAGGCAGCAGUGGGGAAUCUUGCGCAAUGGACGAAAGUCUGACGCAGCCACGCCGCGUGAGUGAAGAAGG